GCUCCCGUGGCGCAACUGGCAGCGCUCUCGGCUUGUAUUCGAGAGGUUGAAGGUUCAAAUCCUUCCGGGAGCU
rnacentral:tRNA from 1 species